UGAGCAGAUGGCCUCUAGCCACCCAGGCGAGCCUCUGCUUGUGUCUGAUUGGGUCCCAGGGAGAGAGCAAGCCCAGCCUGAGGGGACAGCCAACAAAGCUCAGGACUGUGGUUGCCCCCAUCCUGGACGCCUUCCCAGGAACACCCUUGUCCCUCAGAUUCUGCACUGCUGUCACUUUGGGUCUUCCUUUGGCAUUCUAAAACCCAGCCCCAAGGAUGGCCCUUCUGCUCUACUGUCCUCCAAGCCCUUGGAUGCCACCAUCCCUUCUCCUCCUGCCAACAGGGAAGGUGUGUCCCCCUCCUGCUUCACCUUGACUUUCGAGGACCCUGAUCCCUUUACUCCCUAUUCCCUGGACAGCUGAAGAGUCACACCACAGUCGUGGUGACCCAUCCCUCUGGUUAGAGGAGGAACACACUCAGACCUUCCUCUGCUUUGUCUCUCCAGGCCCAAAGCUGCCCGGCUCACCUGUGCUCAGGGUUCCCAGGUGCGGGGGUGGGACAAGGCUGUGGCGUCUUGUUCGGAAAUAAAGCAGCUGUUUGCU